rnacentral:rRNA from 1 species
UAGUCCACGCCGUAAACGAUGAAUACUAGGUGUAGGAGGUAUCGACCCCUCCUGUGCCGCAGCUAACGCAUUAAGUAUUCCGCCUGGGGAGUACGACCGCAAGGUUGAAACUCAAAGGAAUUGACGGGUCCCCGCACAAGCAGCGGAGCAUGUUGUUUAAUUCGAAGCAACGCGAAGAACCUUACCAGGACUUGACAUCUACAGAAUUCUUUGGGAAACUUAGAAGUGCCCUUCGGGGAACUGUAAGACAGGUGGUGCAUGGUUGUCGUCAGCUCGUGUCGUGAGAUGUUGGGUUAAGUCCCGCAACGAGCGCAACCCCUAUUUUUAGUUACCAGCACGUAAUGGUGGGAACUCUAGAAAGACUGCCGGUGAUAAACCGGAGGAAGGUGGGGACGACGUCAAAUCAUCAUGCUCCUUAUGUCCUGGGCUACAAACGUGCUACAAUGGCCAUUACAGAGGGAUGCCACUCCGCGAGGAGGAGCGAAACCCGAAAGGUGGUCUCAGUUCGGAUUGGGGGCUGCAACCCGCCCUU